rnacentral:rRNA from 1 species
AGAGUUUGAUCCUGGCUCAGGACGAACGCUGGCGGUGUGCUUCACACAUGCAAGUCGAACGGAGUAGCAAUACUCAGUGGCGGACGGGUGGGUAACACGUGGGAAUCUACCAUUAGGUGGGGAAUAACAGGCCGAAAGGACUGCUAAUGCCGCAUAUGUAGGCAUCUCGACAGAGAUGUUUAUGAAAGGAGUAAUCCGCCUUUUGAUGAGCCCGCGUCCGAUUAGCUAGUUGGUAGGGUAAAAGCCUACCAAGGCGACGAUCGGUAGGUGGUCUGAGAGGAUGAUCACCCACAAUGGGACUGAGACACGGCCCAUACUCCUACGGGAGGCAGCAGUGGGGAAUUUUACGCAAUGGGGGAAACCCUGACGUAGCGACACCGCGUGAGCGAAGAAGCCCUUUGGGGUGUAAAGCUCUGUCAACAGGAACGAAACAAAUGACGGUACCUGUGGAGGAAGCAUCGGCUAACUACGUGCCAGCAGCCGCGGUAAGACGUAGGAUGCAAGCGUUGUCCGGAUUUAUUGGGCGUAAAGAGUUCGUAGGCGGUUUGUUAAGUCUGAUGUUAAAGACCGGGGCUCAACCUCGGAAAUGCAUUGGAUACUGGCAGACUGGAGUGCAGUAGAGGCUAGUGGAAUUCCCAGUGUAGCGGUGAAAUGCGUAGA